rnacentral:lncRNA from 1 species
ACCAACUCCAACAAAAAUCCAAGAAAAUCCAAUCGAUCAUGAAGGCAAACACCAUCAACAUACAUGGAUGGAAGGCAAAAAAAAUGUAAAGCUUGGUGCAUUGUGUUCUUAAAACACCGGGCAUAACCUUUAAGACCAGCGGUGGCAAACUCAGCAUUCAGGACUUUUAGAUCCGCUUCACCUCUGCGCCUUUGCUGAGUCUCUUUUUGGAGUUGCUUUGCACUAGUCUCAACCUGUUUCCGUUUGUCUUUCUCCAAGUUUGUCUUGGAGUGGAGAUAGUAAGAUAAUGCUCGACUUUCUCCUUCUCCAAAUCCUAGUAUUUACACUCUAGAUCUUGUCUUUUUUUCCACCAUCUUCGCGUUGCCAAUAGCAACUCCCUUCCACUAAUGAAAAAUCACCAUACACCUUGCUUGCAUGAAGAUGUUG